rnacentral:rRNA from 1 species
AGCGAACGCUGGCGGCAGGCUUAACACAUGCAAGUCGAGCGCCCGUAGCAAUACGGGAGCGGCAGACGGGAGAGUAACACGUGGGAACGUGCCUUUUGGUUCGGAACAACCCAGGGAAACUUGGGCUAAUACCGGAUAAGCCCUUACGGGGAAAGAUUUAUCGCCAAAAGAUCGGCCCGCGUCUGAUUAGCUAGUUGGUGAGGUAACGGCUCACCAAGGCUACGAUCAGUAGCUGGUCUGAGAGGAUGAUCAGCCUCACUGGGACUGAGACACGGCCCAGACUCCUACGGGAGGCAGCAGUGGGGAAUAUUGGACAAUGGGCGCAAGCCUGAUCCAGCCAUGCCGCGUGGGUGAUGAAGCCUUAGGGUUGUAAAGCCCUUUCGGCGGGGAAGAUAAUGACGGUACCCGCAGAAGAAGCCCCGGCUAACUUCGUGCCAGCAGCCGCAGUAG